GGCAUUAGAGGGAGGAAAUGGACUACAGCGUUGCACAAACGUUAAGAAACACUCUGUGCACGUUGUAAUUAAGCGACGAGCAAUUACUUCUUGUCCCUUGAAUAUGACGAAACGGAUAGUUGCGCAAGCUUGCUCGCUGCUUGAUACGACCACAAUGACUGACCGUGAGCACCCGCCUAUCGUUUAGCGGUGACGUCUCGCCAAAUUACUACUCAACAUGGUUACUCUUUCGAAGAAUUCAUUGGCCGAAAUUCUACGUAACUAGAACACAGAUCCUCUACUUUAUAACGAUAAUUCACAAUUCACUUCUCGAGUAAAGGGCGAUAUAAAGUCAUAGUAUAAAUCAAGAUUAAAAUGUAGCUAUUAACCCUUGAAAUAUUUUUUAAAAGUAUUUAUAAGUCUAUAGUAUUUUUAAGGCUAAUAAAACCUGUUGGAAUAACCAA